UUUUAUAUUGUAGCGGAGCGGCAAUAUUAAAUCCCACGAUCUCCGCUGGUAUAGAAGGUAAUCCACAGUCAAGCGCUGAAAAGUAAGGCAAUAUCCCAAAUCCCCCAGUAACCGGACGAAACACAGUUCUGGGAGUCAACUGAGGUCUUUAUUCACAGCUCCAGUAUUUAUGCAAGUCCCCAUGUAAGGGGUUUCCCUACUGACAUAGCAGGGGUAACACAGUAGGGGACUACAUGGGGGACUUAACAUUCUGGGCAUUUCUCCCAUCAGGCACUGCUGGACGAGAGGGAUACUCCCACUGGAAUACACCGUUAAGUGGAUUAUCCCUCCGUGCAGCAGAACUGGCAUUUCACAUUUAAAUACAUAACUUUUACACUAUUC